rnacentral:rRNA from 1 species
UACGUAGGGGGCAAGCGUUGUCCGGAAUCAUUGGGCGUAAAGCGCGUGUAGGCGGCUCGAUAAGUCUGCUGUGAAAGUUCAGGGCUCAACCCUGAAAUGCCGGUGGAAACUGUCGGGCUAGAGUCCGGAAGAGGCGAGUGGAAUUCCUGGUGUAGCGGUGAAAUGCGUAGAUAUCCGGAGGAACACCAGUGGCGAAGGCGACUUUCUGGCCUGUUCUUGACGCUGAGGCGCGAAAGCUAGGGGAGCAAACGGG